rnacentral:lncRNA from 12 species
GGGGGGGGGGGGGGGGGGGGGGGGGGGGGGGGGGGGGGGGGGGGGGGGGGGGGGGGGGGGGGGGGGGGGGGGGGGGGGGGGUGAGGGCGGGCCGGGCCGGGGAGCGGGCCUGGCGGCCGGGGGCGGUCGGAGCGCGGUUCCAAUCGCGGUCUCUGCCGGCGAACUUCUAGCUGCCUCGGGUGCGAGGGGCUGCGCGCUGUUAGCUGGUGUGCGGGUCCGCCGCGUUCGUGCGGCCUCUCGGACAGCUGCGAGCCGCUAACAGAGCACAGAAUGUCUGCAAGAUAAAUAAUCUGUUCAUUCCCCUCAAUAUUACUUUCUUAGGAGAGACCGCACUUCCACGGGCUCUUUUCACUUCAUUUGCAGAGUAGUCAGAAGUCCCGCAGGGAAAUGCACACAGUUUCUCCCAACAUGCGAAGCCAACCUUCCGCAGAGGGAGCAAAACACACCUCAGGUGACAGGCAGGCCCCGGCUGUGGCAGGUGCCAGUGGUGGUGCACGGGGGAGAGCCCCCGGUAUCUCCAGGACGGGAAACACGGCUGUUUGCCAGUGUGCAGCGUCGCCGCGCAAGGACUGGGCUUGGCUCAGAGUUAAAUCAAGCACUGAACCAACAGAAAUGCAUUUGGGUAUGGCAAAGGCAGGACCUCUGGCUCCAGCUGUAGUGACAACAAGCUUACCACUCUGAUGGCAGUUAUUUUAAAUCAAAAAAGAAGAUGCCAAGGACGCUGGCGUUCUGGCAUGAAUGUUCCGGCCAGCAUCAUCUCUCCGAAUUCCUGCCCCUCUCGGCACAGCCAAGCAUCACAACUCUAUCAUCCCAAAGGAGCUGUGGCAUUUGCCUCUUCAUCCUCCCCUUUUCCAGCAGACAGGGGUAGGACCGGGCUGUCAGAAAUGCCAUUCCCUAGGCAGUUAGUCCCAGCAGAGAGGAAAAGAGCUGCCGGGAACACGAACAGAACGCCCACGUCCCAGCGGCUGAGCCCGGAGUCCAUGCGGGGCGCUGACAUCCUCCCUGGGAAGGGGGGGGGGGGGGGGGGGGGGGGGGGGGGGGGGGGGAAGCGCUGUCUGGCAAACCGUAUCCCCGCACCUCUCACCUUUUGGUGAGGGGGGGUCUGAAAGAAUUUUCAAAGGGGUUUUUUGGGCUUUAUUGGGGGAAUUUUAGGGUUAUUUUGGGUUUUUAAAGGGGAUUUUAAUGAGGUUUUUUUGGGUUUUGGGGGGAUUUUUUGAGGGAUUUUGAAGGGUUUUUUUUAGGGGAUUUUAAAGAGGUUUUUUUUGUUGUUGUUUUUAAGCCCCAAAAGUUUCGGGGUGGUCUUAAAGGGGAAUUUUGGGGCUUCUUUAUUUUUUUUUAGGGUUUUUUGUGGGGUUUGAAGGUUUUAUUAAGGUAUUUGUUAGGGAUUUCUUAGGAUUUUUAAAAAGUUUUUUUUUAUUUUGGGGGGAUUUUGAGUUUUUUGGGAGGGGGGGGGGGGGGGGG